UCUUGACGGGUGCAUGACAGAAUUCGCCAAACAGCAGGUGCUGUACUGUGCCCCGUAUCACUCGACCAAGUUGUUUUGCCUCUACGUGGAGCAUCUUCACAGGAUUCAGCUGAUAACAUCCUCUUUUCUUCAGAUACGUGUGCCCUGGCACCGUAGUGGCGUCUGAUGUUCUUGAGAGAAAGGCUCCUCUUUUGUGUGCACGACUGUCAUGCACGUUUUCACUAGAAUCCUUGCUGUCUUUGUGAUAGUACUUGCUGCACUUCUCAUCCCUCAGUUUCUCGAACCCAUCUAUGUGAUCCCUGCAGCUGAUGCCGUGGCGCAGUUCUGCUCGGAGCCGCCGCUGUGCGCAAGAAAGGACCGUACAAUGAAGCAGCAGCUUCUGUGUACAAUACGUAGCGCCCCAUUGAAGCCCGCAUCGCCAGUGUAUCGUCAGUACGUUGUUUCACGGCUGAAGCGGUACGUGGAUGGCUCCAUACGGGGUCAGUCCGUGGCCCCAUCUGUGAUUGAGCGAGUACGCUACAAACUUGCGCACAUGCACGAGCCGAUGAUUCUGCACUUUGCGGGUGACAACGGUGUUGGCAAGACACGGCUGGCCGAGCUCAUCUCGCUGGCUAUUGGCCAGAAGUGUGGGGACGCAACGUGCAGCAUUGGGGACACCACCCUCGUACUCUCCGGCACUAGCUAUGAUGGCAUGACGGUGGCAGAGUUCCGCAACGCGGUGGUGCCCGUGGUGGUACGCCACGCGCAACGCUAUCCCGAUAACGGCGUUGUCAUCUUCAACGAGCUGACCUCGCUGGAGCCCAGCAAAGUGCGCGUGCUGUCACCGCUGCUAGGCCGGGGCACCAGUUUCCCAGAGAACCCCGGCGUCAGCAUAGCUCCGCUGCUGGUUAUCUUGACAACAGAUUUUGGCCGCGAGGGCCGCACACGCGGCAAGAGUCUCUUUGAAAUGCGUGCCUUCAUCACCGACGAAUUCGCCGAUCUGUACAGCAAGGAGGCCGCCUCGCACGUUCGCACCUUCCCGUUCCUGCCCAUCUCUCUCAGCACCGCAGGCGACAUUGUGCGCGUCGUCGUGAGGGAAAUCGGCUGCAGCGCCCCACAACCGCUCUGCCUCGCCAUUAGCGACUCUGCAGUUGUGUGGCUGGUGGAGAGAACGAAAAUCCUCUUACCAGCCGAGAACGGCCGCGCGGUGGCCUUUGAAACCAAGCUGCAGCUGGAGGCGCUUCUUGAGCAGGUAAUGGACAACUGCACCCACGAGAGCGGCAUCAUCGCCACUGAUGAGCUUUACCUGGAUGUUGACGCGACAUGUCCGUACAGGCGGUGCACUGUCUUCCUUGAGGGUGACGGAACGCUCGCGAUGACGUGCCAAGGCACAGGCACGCACAGCCGUGUGCCACCAGGCUGAGCAUGUUGCAGAUGCGGCUCUGUGAGGAGGCGUGGAAGGAGGGGCGGGGUCCAUGGACGGAAAACAGAUGCUGAGGGGGGAGUGAGGCGUGUUCAACUCUCCGAACCCACUGCUAUCGCGUCAUGGUCGCCCUCUCCCUUUGCUAUGUGUGCGGUGCACUGCAAAGGGAGCUGAAACGUUGGCUAAACGGUGUUGCUCGUAGCGGCUAUGUGCGCUGCGCUGCACAUACCUGAAGACGGUUGCAACGGCUUUG
rnacentral:misc_RNA from 1 species